rnacentral:rRNA from 1 species
GGUGCAGGCGGCCUGUCAAGUCAGAUGUGAAAUCUCCCGGCUUAACCGGGAGGGUGCAUUUGAAACUGAUGAGCUAGAGUGCAGCAGAGGAAGAUGGAAUUCCCGGUGUAGUGGUGAAAUGCGUAGAUAUCGGGAAGAACACUAGUGGCGAAGGCGGUCUUCUGGGCUGUAACUGACGCUGAGGCCCGAAGGCGUGGGGAGCAAACAGGAUUAGAUACCCUGGUAGUCCACGCAGUAAACGAUGGAUACUAGGUAUGGGGAGUAUCGACCCUCUCCGUGCCGAAGCUAACGCUUUAAGUAUCCCGCCUGGGGACUACGGUCGCAAGACUAAA